rnacentral:rRNA from 1 species
GCAGUUAACGCAAUAAGUGCUCCGCCUGGGGAGUACGUUCGCAAGAAUGAAACUCAAAGGAAUUGACGGGGACCCGCACAAGCAGCGGAGCAUGUGGUUUAAUUCGAAGCAACGCGAAGAACCUUACCAGGACUUGACAUCUCCUUGACCGGUCCUUAAACGGACCUUUCUUCGGACAAGGAAGACAGGUGGUGCAUGGUUGUCGUCAGCUCGUGUCGUGAGAUGUUGGGUUAAGUCCCGCAACGAGCGCAACCCUUGUCAUUAGUUGCCAGCAGUAAGAUGGGCACUCUAGUGAGACUGCCGGGGAUAACUCGGAGGAAGGUGGGGAUGACGUCAAAUCAUCAUGCCCCUUAUGUUCUGGGCUACACACGUGCUACAAUGGUCGGUACAAAGAGCAAGCGAGACCGCGAGGUGGAGCGAAUCUCAAAAACCGAUCCCAGUUCGGAUUGCAGGCUGCAACUCGCCUGCAUGAAGUCGGAGUUGCUAGUAAUCGUGGAUCAGAAUGCCACGGUGAAUGCGUCCCCGGGUCUUGUACACACCGCCCGUC